GUUGUGAGGGACGUAUUCAAAUGAAGUCCUUCUGUACGUUUUUUACUAUACACACUGUAUUGUGACAACAUUUUGUUAUUGAGCGUAAUAACGUGGUUACUACCAAAGCCUCUCUCGUCUACGUUAUUUAUUUGUCUGUUGGCUUGGCUCCUGUAUCUUUGUACCUCUCAAACUCGACUGAAGCAUCAUUAUAAUCGGCUACUUUAUGAGAACGUUUCACUAGUAGCUAGCUAGCUAUGUUUCAUAAAAACUCAACUAUCAACUACUGUAUACUGUUAGAUACAUUUAAAAAAGUGCUGAUAAAAUAUGUCUCCCAAUAAAGUUUUUUUUGUUGUCGCUCUAAUUUUACUGGACAAAGUGAAUUGUGUCGGUGGUUCAAGGAACCGGUUUAUGAUGAGAAAUGACAUGAAAAAGCAGAGGAUAAAUAAGGUACCAUAUUGUAUAUAUUAUAAUAAAGUAUAUGUGACAUGAUAAUACAUAUGCCAACAUUUUAUCAGGAAUUCUUUGAAAAGAAGAAAAUGCAGAGAAAGAUGAAAACCUUAGGAAUACCAAACUCUCCUGAAGGAGCCAGCUCUGGAAGUAUGUACCUGGUGACUUUAUUCAUAGUAAACCAGAUUGCUGCAAAGAAAGAAAACAAUGGUGAGUUCAGACAGACAUCUAUAGAUUAUGGAUAAAUACUAAUAACAUUGAAAAAGGAUCCCACCCACAACAAUAACUUAGUUUGUUCCAGAUCAGCCAAAGGUAACUCGCAUCACUGAUGAUAAGGGAGGACCCAAGUCGAUGAGGGAGGGGUCCCUGGAGUUACCCAUGAGCCCUGGCUCCCCAUCAGUCGUUCUCUUUUGAGAGACAGCCUUUGUACAGGCAUGGUUAUAUAUAUCAAGCAAUUAUAGAAUCAUUCUAGGAGGAAACGUCAUCUUUAAUGACAUUCAAGUAUUUGUAUUAAUGGUACUGUACAACUGAUGUAUUUUAGUGUCCAGGCUGCUAGAAAGAGAAAGCACUGCCUUCCUGAUGAAUUCAAGUGUAGACAGAUCUCACCAGGGCUGGAGUCAAACAUGUCAGACACCAGUACGUCAGACUACCAGCAACACAUCCAGGAGAAGGGGCUCACCCUGAGCAUCGUCGUCAGUCUACUCCUCAGGGGCAGGCCUGUUCUCCCUCCAACAGAGAGCACAGGUCCAGCCAAAGCCACACUGCUCCCCUAGGCCACCCUGGGAUAUCUCCACCUCAGAGCAACCACAGUUUAGACCUUUCUCUCAGCCAGGAGGAAGGAGAGAGUGUGCCUCGUGGGCCACAGCCCCCCCCCCCCCCCCAGUAUCCAACUGAACUGAAAUAUCAAAGAUGUGUUUUUACCUGAAAAUCAGCUAAUUUUAAGAAGAGUAUGCCUAAGAUAUACCUCAAGGAGGAAGUACCGACAACGUCUACCAGAGAUGUGAAUUAAUCACAGAGCUGAGGCCCUGAACCGGAUUUCUUGAGGUUUCCAACUGCACUGAUGUCAGCUCAUCUUGUCCUGGAAACACUCAUCAUGGUCCUAAGGAAUGCUGUGAAUCAUCGCCCAGUUACUCUCCAAGAGGAGGUUGCUUUAGUUCACACUUUGAUGGUGACGAGGUGGAGGAUUAUCACCAGUGUCAACAGGGUGGAUCCUCUAAGUCACACUCAGAGAGGUCCUGUAUUGAAGAGAUCCCUGUCCUCAGCCAGGCCUCAUCACUUUGGAACACACAACAAAGGGGUCACCAUCAGUCUCAACCCAGACCUUACACCCCACCCACUAGGCCUCAAUGCACAGGGAAUUGUGGAAACGACCAGAGAGAUCAUAAAGACCAGAGAGCGUUGGAGAGCUCCGGCUACACUGAGAGACGGUCAGGCUGUGUAGUUACAGAUGACAGUAACAGCCAGGUUAGGGUUAUAGGCGAUCAGUAUGUCCCACCUCGUCCUCUGUCUGAAUCACAGAGCUCUGAGGUCCACCAACAAAAAAUGGCAGCCACCAGAACACAAGAAACACGAGAAAUGGAGACACAGACUGUCACCAACAUCACCUCGAAAUGUCUAACAUCGGAUGUUUCAACUCAGUGCAGUUUCUGGACUUGAGUGUAAAGAGAACAACCUCGUGGACUCUGAAUCCCACAACAAUUCUGCUUACAAUGUCAUACCGACCCCAACCACCAGAAGGCAGGCCAGUCACAGAGAUGAGUCUAUGAGACAACAGACAGACAGAGCAUUGUCAGACAGAUCUAGGAGGGAGGGAGAAGAGCACACGCCCUGGAGAAAAUCAACAGCCAGAGAGCUCAAGGCUGGACCUGGGCACCACCCAUCAAUCAUCUCUUUAAACAAGUGUCGUAACACUAACACUGAGAGUAGAGUGUAUUCAGAGACCCACUACCUCUGUACUAGACGCUCCCCUCGUCACCAAUGAUGUAAAAAGUAUGAAUAGCAAAUGUUUGAUGUAAUUAACAAUUCAGUGUAGCCGAAUAUAGACAAAUCAAUGCAAACAACUUCAUAUGUGGUGUAAUUUAUCAUAGAUAAUCGAUUGAAAGUAAAGCUAAUGAAUGGGUGUAAUAAGCACACGUUAUACUGCAAUUAUAUUUACUCUGAUCUGUAUAUGUUGACAUUCUUCCGUACAGUUUGUUGCAGUUUUCUUACGGACCAAGAAUCAUUAUGGUGGUAUUUUUUUGUAUUUUCAGUGGUAUUUUGGAAAUGGAUGUUGCUCCCUAAUGAUGUUUUUCUCUCUUCCAUCCAGACUUGAGAGGUAAGCAGCUGCAGCAUAGAGGACAGGAAGAAGAAUAAGAGGUGCAGGACCCUGUUCAGAAUGUUCCUCUUAGAGAAGACCUUCCAGAUGAGAGAGAGGAGAAAAGGAGAGGGAGAGCAGAGGAGAGGGAGGAGGUCACUGCUGAGAGCAUAGUUAACAGGCUUUCAGAGGAGGUUGAGACACUUCAGGAAAUAGCAGACAUUCUGCUCAUGCUGAAGCAGAGGAAAAAGAUUAGUGAAACGUGAAGGAGAGGAGAGAGGUGGGGAGGACAGGAGAGGAGGGGAGGUAAAAUCCCGAAGUAUCCCUUUAAGAGUUGUGAACAACACUAGCAACUACAUCCCUUUACCACAGGAUCUGUUUCUGCAUAUUUAAACAUUUAUAACAAUGCCCUUGGGAUUCUACAUUAAAACGAAAGCUAGACAUUGCAAGAUAAUUACUUUAUUUAUUUUUCCCCGAUAC